CCUACGGGUGGCAGCAGUGGGGAAUAUUGGACAAUGGGGGAAACCCUGAUCCAGCGACGCCGCGUGAGUGAAGAAGUAUUUCGGUAUGUAAAGCUCUAUCAGCAGGGAAGAAAAUGACGGUACCUGACUAAGAAGCCCCGGCUAACUACGUGCCAGCAGCCGCUGUAAUACGUAGGGGGCAAGCGUUAUCCGGAUUUACUGGGUGUAAAGGGAGCGUAGACGGCAGCGCAAGUCUGGAGGUAAAUGCCGGGGCCCAACCCUGGAACUGCCCUGGAAACUGUGGAGCUGGAGUGCAGGAGAGGUAAGCGGAAUUCCUGGUGUAGCGGUGAAAUGCGUAGAUAUCAGGAGGAACACCGGUGGCGAAGGCGGCUUACUGGACUGUAACUGACGUUGAGGCUCGAAGGCGUGGGGAGCAAACAGGAUUAGAUACCCGAGUAGUC
rnacentral:rRNA from 1 species